GGCAUGAUAGCAUAACGGUUAAUGCCCUGCUUUUCUUAGCGCUGAAAUCCCUUGCCGCAGAUGAUCCCGGUUCGACUCCGGGUCAGGCCA